rnacentral:rRNA from 1 species
GAUGAAUGCUAGCGGGGGGCCUAACACAUGCAAGUCGAACGGGCUUAGACCCGUGGCAAACGAGUGCGUAACACGUGCUUAAUCUGCCCUAGAGUGGGGGAUAACAUCGGAAACGGUGCUAAUCCCGCAUACGCUCCGGUGAAUGAAAAACAACCGGAGGAAAGAUUUAUCGCUCUGGGAGGAGGGCGCGGCCUACUAGUUAGUUGGUGAGGUAAUAGCUCACCAAGACAAUGAUGGGUAGCUGGUCUGAGAGGAUGAUCAGCCACGAUGGAACUGAGACACGGUCCAUACCCCUACGGGGGGCAGCAGUGGGGAAUCUUGCACAAUGGACGAAAGUCUGAUGCAGCCACCCCGCGUGGAGGAUGAAGCAUUACGGUGUGUAAACUCCUUUUCUGGAGGAAGACGAAUGACGGUACUCCAGGAAUAAGCGACGGCUAACUAUGUGCCAGCAGCCGCGGUAAUACAUAGGUCGCAAGCAUUAUCCGGAUUCACUGGGCGUAAAGCGUCCGCAGCCGGUCAAGUAAGUCUAUUUUCAAAUACCAGAGCUCAACUUUGGGAAGGGAACAGAUACUGCUUAACUAGAGAAAGAUAGAGGUUAGUAGAAUUUCCGGUGGAGGGGUGAAAUCCGUUGAUAUCGGAAGGAAUACCGAAAGCGAAGGCAGCUAACUAUAUCUUUUCUGACGGUCAUGGACGAAAGUCUGGGUAGCAAACGGGAUUAGAUACCCCGGCAGUCCAGACCGUAAAUGAUGCACGCUAGAUGUAUCGAUCCUAGAGGUUGAUGUGUCGUAAGCUAACGCGUUAAGCGUGUCGCCUGAGUAGUAUAGUCGCAAGACCGAAACUCAAAGGGAUAGGCGGGGGAACACACAAGCAGAGGAUUGCCUCGAUUAAUUCGAUAAUACGCGAAGAAUCUUACCUAGGCUUGACAUCUCGAGAAUCCUAUCGAAAGACUGGAGUGCCCUUCGGGGAAUUCGAUGACAGGUGCUGCAUGGCCGUCGUCAGCUCGUGCCGCAAGGUGUCCGGUUAAGUCCGGAAACGAGCGCAACCCUCAUCGUUAGUUAUUAUGUCUAGCGAGACUGCCUCGGUAACGAGGAGGAAGGAGAGGACGACGUCAGGUCACUAUGGCCCUUAUGCCUAGGGCGUCAGAGACAAUACAAUGGGUAGUACAGCAGGUAGCGAAGCCGUGAGGCGGAGCCAAUCCCCAAAACUAUCCUCAGUGCGGAUUGAAGUCUGGAACUCGACUUCAUGAAGUUGGAUUUGCUAGUAAUGGUGGGUCAGCCAUACCACCGUGAAUAUGUCCCUGUUCCUUGCACUCACCGCCCGUCAUACCAUGGAAGCUGAAAUUCUCUGAAGAUACACCCUGUGUAUUGAGGAGAGAGUUGGUAACUGGGGUA